rnacentral:rRNA from 1 species
AUAGAGGAUAAAUACUGGAAGGUUUUAUUCUUCAAAGCUUCGGCACCUGAGGAUGGGACUGCGUCGGAUUAGCUUGUUGUCGGGAUAAUUACCCGACAAGGCGAUAAUCCGUACGGGUUGUGAGAGCAAUAGCCCGGAGAUGGAUUCUGAGACAUGAAUCCAGGUCCUACGGGACGCAGCAGGCGCGAAACCUUCACAAUGCCUGAAAGGGUGAUGAGGGAACUCUGAGUGACUUCGCAAUGCGAAGUCUUUUGCCAAGUGCAAAAAGCUCGGUGAAUAAGUGGUGGGCAAGACAGUUGCCAGCCGCCGCGGUAAUAACUGCGCCACGAGUGGUGAUCUCGUUUAUUGGGCUUAAAGCGUUCGUAGCCGGUUUUAUAAGCAUCUGGUGAAAUCCGAUAGUAAACUAUUGGGCUGGCUAGGUGUACUGUAAGACUAGGGACCGGUAGGGGCCGGGAGUACUCCUAGGGUAGGGGUUAAAUCCUUUAAUCCUAGGGGGACUACCAGUGGCGAAGGCGCCCGGCUAGAACGGGUCCGACGGUGAGGGACGAAAGCUGGGGGAGCGAUCCGGAUUAGAUACCCGGGUAGUCCCAGCUGUAAACGAUGCCCGCUUGGUGUGGUGAAACUUUCGUGGUUUUGCCGUACCGU